GCGCUAAUAGCUCAGUUGGGAGAGCGUCAGACUGAAGCUGUACAUCAGUCAUAAGUCUAUCUGAAGGUCACCCGUUCGAUCCGGGUUUGGCGCA
rnacentral:tRNA from 1 species